rnacentral:lncRNA from 1 species
CUUAAAAAACAUAUCCCAGACUUAUUUUAGAGGUACUGCCCAGCUAAGAGAGAAAGAUAUUAGAUUUACCAACAUUUUGUAAAGGUUCCAGGAUGUUUAGCCUGUAAUGUUGCAGGAAUAUUCAAAAACCUGUAAUAUACCUUUUAAAACCUUGUGUUUCUCUUUAGACUCCAGUUUAGACGUUUCUGUGACCCAGACUCCAUCUAACCUCACAGUGGAGGAAGGACAGAGUGUGGAUAUCUCCUGUUGCUGGAAUAAAAUCAUCCCUAAUAUUAAAGUGAGGUGGAUUAAACCCAACCAGAUUAAUAAAGACCUUCCUACAGAAAUCAUUAAUACUAACUGCUCAGUUGUCUCUAUAAGAAACGCCUGCAAUAAUGAUACAGGACUGUACAUCUGUGAAGUUCUACUAGACAUUCCUGUACUGGUUACUGUAAAAGGAAAAGGGACGACUGUGAGACUUGUGGAAAAAAAGCCAGACAAUAACACCACUGGAUUCACUAAUUCAUCCUUGGAGGCCCCGCCCCCUGCGCAGCCGCCGCUGGUGCCGCCGCUGGUGCCGAUAGUGGGAGCGUCGGUUCCCGCAGCCGUGAUCCUGAUUUGUCUCUGUGUUUCUGUGGCUGUGUGGAGAACCUGCAGAAAACCAGAGAGGAUGGUCAUACGGGAGGGACCAGCAAGUGAGGGGGAGGAGCCUGAGCAUAGCGAGGGUGACGACAGCUCACGUAACUCCAGAGGCUCCACCCAGUGGUACAUGGUUCCAGUGUACGAGUCCUACUUUGAUCUUCAGAGAAACGAUGAAGAAGAGUCAUCAAACGAAGAUCAGUCAACAAAAUCAGACAAGACUGACAGUCUGGGUAAAAAUGCUAAAGCAGCUAAUCACAAAUAACGGAAACACCUCACCAGGCUAGCAUCACGCUAACUGUCUGAAUCAUUUUUGUUUUUUGCCUUUUGCCUUAAAUGCUGUUAAUUUACCAUUCCACCUUAAAUGCUGUUAAUUUACCACUCCACCUUAAAUCCUGUUCAUUUACCAUUCCACCUUAAAUGCUGUUAAUUUACCACUCCACCUUAAAUUCUGUUAAUUUACCAUUCCACCUUAAAUUCUGUAAAUUUUCCAUUCCACCUUAAAUGCUGUUAAUUUACCACGCCACCUUAAAUUCUGUUAAUUUACCAUUCCACCUUAAAUACUGUUCAUUUACCAUUCCACCUUAAAUGCUGUUAAUUUACCACUCCACCUUAAAUUCUGUAAAUUUUCCAUUCCACCUUAAAUGCUGUUAAUUUACCACGCCACCUUAAAUUCUGUUAAUUUACCAUUCCACCUUAAAUACUGUUCAUUUACCAUUCCACCUUAAAUGCUGU